AUUCAUGUGAAGCAGAAUGGCCGUGUGGAUAGAUUGUUAAGCCUCUAAUGGCGCCCAGACCAAAAGAGCUUGGAGGCUUUAGUCCAAUGGAGUCCGCCACUAUGGACCUUGAUCCCUCGCACCCAAUCAGUAUCUGUACUGUUUGAUAAAAUUCCUAAGAGAAAUUCCCCUGUUUCCAUCCUCCUCACUAUCAUAUAAUAUGCAAUACCCGACCAGUUCGAUUGGUAACUACAAGGGUCACAAGGUAGACUUCGCCAAUUAAGGAGGAAAAAUGUUUCCAGAAAGAAAAACCUUGAAUUUUUUAGAUGACAAGGAAAACUCGCAACCAAUACGAAAGGUAGAAAUGUACCUUGGUGCCUAUGUACUUUCCAUUGGAGAGUUGGAUGCGUGGAAAUUUAGUGAGAGGGUCUGUUUGGACAGAAACAAUUUGGCAACCAAAGCGAAGCGUUCCAACCGGCAAAGCCUCGGCAAUUGUUGUAAUAAGGUCACUCCUUUUCAAGCAACGAGCCUCUCCUUUUCCACUGUUUUGGCAUUCAAUAGUCGCAUUAAAUUUCGACUAAUUCAGAGUCGAAUUAUGAUCAAAUUUUGUUUUUGAAAAUUCUUGGUGUCGGAUAUAUUCACUUUAUAAAGAAAGAAAGUAAAGAUAAAGUUGUGGAACUUACAAAGA